AUGAACGCUGGCGGCGUGCUUAACACAUGCAAGUCGAACGAUGAUCCGGUGCUUGCACCGGGGAUUAGUGGCGAACGGGUGAGUAACACGUGAGUAACCUGCCCUUAACUCUGGGAUAAGCCUGGGAAACUGGGUCUAAUACCGGAUAUGACUCCUCAUCGCAUGGUGGGGGGUGGAAAGCUUUAUUGUGGUUUUGGAUGGACUCGCGGCCUAUCAGCUUGUUGGUGAGGUAAUGGCUCACCAAGGCGACGACGGGUAGCCGGCCUGAGAGGGUGACCGGCCACACUGGGACUGAGACACGGCCCAGACUCCUACGGGAGGCAGCAGUGGGGAAUAUUGCACAAUGGGCGCAAGCCUGAUGCAGCGACGCCGCGUGAGGGAUGACGGCCUUCGGGUUGUAAACCUCUUUCAGUAGGGAAGAAGCGAAAGUGACGGUACCUGCAGAAGAAGCGCCGGCUAACUACGU
rnacentral:rRNA from 1 species